CUGGCCCAGCAAAGCCCAGUCCUUGAAAGAAGAAAAGCUUCAGCCAAACAAAAAAAAAAACAAAGAAGCAGAAGAACCGUCCCUUUCACGGCAGAUUUGCAAGCUAGAAUCCAAAAACUUCAAUUAGGUUGGAAUCAAUUUCAAAUUUCAAAUUCUCCCUCUCUUCAAUAUCAUAACUCACUUUCUUUCUCAUGGAUUUCAAUUCUUCUCUCAUCAGCUCUCUCUCAUCCUCUCUGAUAUCUUCACCACCACCAACACCUUCGCUGUCGUCACUUUCUUUCUCAUUGAUUUCAUUAAGUUCUCUUCUCAAUCAAAUCCUCCACUAGGUAACAGAUAAUUUAGGAUUCGUCAAUCUGUAAGUAAUCCCUUUUUAUCUUUUAUAUGGUUUCUCUAAUUUAUGGAUUACAUUCAUCUCAUGUUUUGAAUUUUUUUAUUCAUCCCCUGUAUUAUUACAUUGUUUGUUCUUUGAUUCAUAUUGUUUCUAUUUUAUUGAUAAAUUUGGAAUACAAUGAUUUUCAUGAUUAUUAUUUGUAUAUUUGGAUUCAGAAGUCACAAAACCUUAUGAAGAUACUUUUGUAUGGAUUUGAUGUAUAAGCAUGAAGGUUUCUUCAGCUUCUUCAUAUAGAAAGGUUCCAAAAUUAGGGUUUGAUUGAGUAAGUUUUCUGAACUUCAAUUGAUUGUAUUUGAGUAGUAUUUAGCUUAUGUUUAUUAUUUGAGUAGUUAUGUUUUUGUUUUGAUUUUCGAUUCAGAAUUCAAUAUUAUUAGAAAGUUUAUCAAAUUCAGAAUUCAGGUACUUUGUAAGCAUUAAUUAAUUAAUAAUGAUCAUGAGAUAAACCAUCAACUUGAUUUAGUUACUUACUUUCAUAGGUAUUCUAGAUGGAUAAUCUUAUCAAGGUGUAUCAAAUUUGCAAUCUGUGUGUGAUAAUUUGGUUGAUUUUCAUUCUAUUUUCAAUGAGUUAUAGGCAGUUCAAUUUUGAAGUAAUAGAUCUAGAUUUUUUUUUUUUUAUAUUCAAUAGAUCUAGAUUUUUGUUGGUGAAAGUUUAAAACUUUCAUCCUUGAUUGUUGAAUUGUGUUGGUACAUCAACUUUAUCUGUUAAUUAAAUUUUUGGAAUGGUUCUUGAAUUAAUUUGGAGGUUAAUGAGUAAUGAAAUUUACAGGUGGGGUAGAAUCUUUUACCUAACUAAAGGAAUAUAGAUUGAAUUAGGGCUCAUAUGAAUAUCAGAUGUGGUUAUUGUGAUGAUCAUCAUAAUCUUCAAUCUAAUGAGAACAUUUUCUAUGUAGAUUUUGUAGGCUUAGACACUGUAAUUUAUUUCUCUAUACUUGGUUGGAUUCUUAUAGGCUAUUGCUAAAGAUAAACUUGAUUGGGGGUGAUACAAGUAGUGUGAGUACUCCAGUUUUAUAUUACAAUAAGGCAUAAGUUAUUUAACUGUAAUAUUUUAAAUUAGUCUUUGCAAUAAACUCAAUUUUAGAUUAGUCUUUUUGUUGAACAUUGUUGCUUAUUUAUGUUGUUGAGUCUUGUGUUGUGAUUGAAAUCUAUUGAAUUUGUGUGUUGGAAAACCUUUCGUUGUAACAAGGCUUCUGAAAAAUAAAAGUGGUGUGAUUUCUUUCCAUAUUAGAGCCUUGGUCAUUUUGUAGGUGUUUGGAUCAAUUUAUUUCAUAUUUCAGUUUCACAUGUUUGUUGUGAUUAUGAUGACGUUAACUAUUAAGUAUGAUUUUUGGUUUUUAUGUAUUCUUUUAUGCAAGAUGAUAUUAAGUAUUAGAUAGAUGAAGAAUGUGCAAACUAAAGGACAUCAUGAAGAGAAUUCUUUUUUUUGUGUAAUACAUUGAAUCAGGGAACAACAAGAGUGACGAACAAGGAGUCUUUAAAUAGUCACCAAAAGUAUGAAUUCAAGACACUAAAUUUAAGGAAAGGAGAAGUGCAAGAAGACGAUAUUUACAUUUAAGUUUCUCACUUCCUUUUCAUUGAUGAAGAAAGAGGUAGUACAUUAAGAUAUCUUCCAUAAAUUAAUUUAUUAUUGCUAUCUAUCUUUUAUAUUUGUUCAUCAUCCUAAAAACUACAGACUUAUAUGAAGUAUAUAAAGAACAAAAUAACAGUACAGGGGAUGCCAUCUUAUUAUAUUAAGCAACCACUUUAUAUAUCAAUGCAUACAAAAUAAAAUCAAUUAGCCGUUUUGACUUUAAAUUUACUUGAACAUGUACUUAUGAUUGUAUUUUAUGCUAUUAGGUGAGUGAAGAUCCAUUCAUCUUGCUUCUUGCAAAGGUAACACAUCAAGCAUGAGAUUAAAUAGGUCACGACUUUAUAUCCAAUACCAAGUAAUAAUUAGUGCACAUAAUGUGCCAUAUACAAGCAGAAAAGCUCGACACGAGCUUGAUAUUGUACCAGUUCUCCAACUACAAGGAAACUCUAGAGUUUGUGGAAGAUUAGCUAAAGCCUGAGUGCAACUAGGAUAGACACAAUUUCUAUUGUAUAUUCUUGAUAUAGUUAUCUCAAUUUCUAUUGUAUCGUGUACUAUUAAAAGUAUGUACACCGCAUUUUUUAUUUGUAUAUUGUCUUAACUUAUAUAUUAAUUACAUAGAGAUUAAGCACAUUCUAUUGGUGUUGCCUUAUUUUUCACCCUUUCCUUUAUAGUGCACGAUUCAAAAGCACUCAAUAAAGUUUAAUCAAUGAAGAGCUUUAUGCGGCAGA